GCGCGCUAGCGUCGUCUUAUGUAAUUCCUGCUAAUUCUGCUCUCGUUGCUCGUUCAAAAUUUCCUGCGAGGGAGCAGGAUGACACAUUUCUUCAAUUUAUAUCCCACUUUGUGACAAAUAAUGGCUUAGGUUGCUUUCGAUGGGGAUGUGGCUGGUUUAGACGUUGCACGAUACUGCGCAGGCUGAAUUCGAUGUCGUAGACGGUCUGUGAGCAUUUAUUCGUGGCAGACGUCGUGCCAGAAGCGCGUUUACACAGCCUGAAAGUCGUAAGAAUUCUGUAAAUGCACUAUCUGGUACGACAGUCGGCCGCGUGCACGCUGCGGGAAUGCACGAGUUAUUAUUAUUAUUAUUUUUGACAAAAUGAUUGAGGCCUUCGCGGCCGAGGUUUUCAGUGUCAUUAUUUUUCGGGUUUGAAGACCGUCGUUUUUAGAAUUUCUUCCAAAAAGAAAUUUCGAAAAUCGGCGGUAUUGUUAUUAUUAUUAUUAUUUCUUGAGUUUGAGUGUACAAGGACCUGGUGAACACUGACUUUUUCAUAUCAACAAAAUUUAACAAAACCGUCACCUAUCCCAGCUCUUUUUAUCUCCUCGCAAAUCGUCGCAAAUCUUCAGUCUUGAGAAACGGGAAAAUGUCGCAGGGGUCAAAUCUGGUGAAUACGGUGGCUGAGGCAUGAUUGAACUGUUGUUUUUGGUAAAAAAAUUACGAACGAGUAAUAACGAUAAGAUAAUACUUCUUGUUGAGCAUACCACCCAUUUGGCAGCAACUCUUGAUUACGCCAAGCUAAUCAAGGAAAAUACUGAGUAAACCCUUGACAUUUGAUUCAACUUGUCGUGCUUUUUUUGGUCUGGGCUCUUCCAUUGGGACACCGUAAUUACACCUCAGCCACCAUAUUCGUUAGAUUUGCCUCCCUGCGACUUUUUUUCUGCUUCCAAGAUUGGAGACACCCAUGAAAGGACGGCGUUUCGCUACGAUUGAGGAGACAAAAACUGAAUCGCUGAGAGAGAUCAAAUACUUAUCAACUUUGAAGGGAACAAAAUAGAAUAUUUUUCUAGAAAAAUAAAAAUUCACCGCAUUUUUUUUAAUAGACCUUGUAUGCAUUCAACUUGCGUAAUUUCUGAUAGCUUGUAGUCGCAUGAUAAUUUGGUCAACAAAAGCUGGAUAAUCCGAUAUAAUAAUGGGAUAGAAACAGAUAUGGUGUACUUCGACGUUUCGGGACGCUGGCCUUUACACCUCACCGACACCAAGUAGGUUGUCUCCCUGUGAAACUGAUCUCUUCUAAAAUAUUCCACUUUCAAUUUACAAGCUUUUUUGUUUUAGCAUCCCACAUGUUGCAAAAAUUGAAACAUUUCCACUGUGUAUGUAUUAUGAAUACUUAUUUAUCUGUAUUGAGAUUCUAUGUUCCUCUUGAUUGAAUUUUGUUUUACAUUGAAUUAAUGAAAAAACAGGAAAUAUGAACCGUUUGUAUAUCAUUGUUUCAAGAAUGGAUUGGUUUUAUUUAUGCAGUAAGUUAGUAUUAUUUCUUUACACUGUUAACAAAUAAGUAAAAUAUUUCAUUUUUA
rnacentral:lncRNA from 1 species